CCAUUGGUCUUCCUCCUUUUUUUCUCCUCUCUUUUUUUCUUGAUUACACCAUUUUGACGUUGACAUUUUGUUAAAUUAAUCUCUGUUCUGCUAUGUACAUUAUUUCUUUAUCCAUUCAUUAAAAACAACUAUCCUGGGGUUUCUGGUCGUCCUUCUGCAAGGUACAAAUGCCACAAUCAGGACCUAAAGAUCUGCCAAUCAUAUCAAGCACAACAGGAAGAUUUGUUGAGAGUGCAAUUGGUUAUGUUCAAUUAACCCGUGGUCAGUUUGAAAGUGUCAUGCAGCAGUCUCAAGAUCGCCAGGUUUCUUUUCAUUUCUAGUUGUUUAAUAGGUUCAUAAGGAACUGCAAGAUACCAUGGCUCAAUUAGAAGCCAUACGACAUGAAAUUCAGACAACCUCUUUUAUGAAUCCUGGUCCAUUGACAAUAAGGCUUGUAGACAGCAUCAACCAACAAUGAUAAAUAAUGCUGAAAAUAGACCUCAAAAAUCUUAUAAAGAGAGCAUCAUUGCUGAAAAAGGACCUAAGAUAUCCAAGAAGGAGAGUACA